rnacentral:misc_RNA from 1 species
UCGUAAAGGUGGAUGAGUGGUGUUUGGUUUGUUACGUGUGGUUGGCUGCGGCGUUUGCAACAACUUCCAUGCUUUCAGACCUCUUCAGUUGUGCGGCAAGGCUUGUAUUGCCUUGAGCGUAUUGUGGGUUUUCUGUGUUGGCUACCUAAUCAACGGUAUCGUUUGGAUUGAUCAAAGUUUGAUUUCGUCUUCCGUCGCGUUUGCGGCGUGAGGUGAACCUUGAUGCGGUCUCUUUGAUCCAUCUCGUCGAAGCACAUGCUUUGACGUUGUGGCACAUUGAGCAUUGCUUGGUGUCUUGUAUACGGAACACGUAGUGGGCAUGGAUCUAACGAUUCUUGUUUGCCCUCAUAUUAGCGUAACGCUUCUCUAACACGACUUGCAUCACGUUUUAGCUCGUACGGACGUGGU